rnacentral:lncRNA from 1 species
AUGAUCUUUGGAGAUGCUCUGAGCACCUCUGACUUGCAGAUAUAUGGGUACAAAAUGGCACUGUGGGCAGAGCAUUUAGGACUUGUUGAAGAAUGUUUCAAUCAGCCAGAGUCUUGAAUGUGUUCAAAUGGUAAGGUCAUUGGGUGAGCAGAAAUGGAGUCAAUACUAGAGCUUCUGCAGGGUCCUUGUCCAUCAUGUGUAGGAUCGAUGACUUAAGAGAUCGAAAGACUGCUUAUCAUCUUUGCCUAC